rnacentral:lncRNA from 1 species
UCGUCAGCUUGGACGCGACCGACUGGGAUGUGAAUGCCAAUGUAGCUGAAACCUUCUUGCUUUUGCGGAUGGACACCGAGGUAGUCUCUCCUUUCCCAUUGCUUUUGAACCAAACCUUCAUCAGAUGCUCUCUCCAACUCUUUCUGAGGCAUUCUUUUGGCUACCUCUGAUCUGAACACUUCAAUCCCCUGCAUUUCGAAAUAAAAUUUUUGAGCCUACGAUUUCUAAAAAACAAUCGAAUAUGAACACGAACACGAAUACAAAAACGAACUCACCAGUUCAUCAAUCAGCCACAUCAUUCUAGUCUUUUGCCUAUUGCCCCGGUAUCCAAGAUCCCUAUAGGCUUCUAACACAGCUUUGCACAAUGGGAUCACAUCAUCAGCUGAGACCCAAGCAUCAAGAGGAAUGGCCUCAUCACAUCUCUUG